UCACGAUGAACGCUUACGGUGUGUUUACACAUGCAAGUCGAGCGAAGCUUCGAGCAGAGCGGCAGACGAGAGAGUAACACGUUGGAACCUACCCCAAACUCAGGGAUAACCUUCUGAAAAGAACGCGAAUAGCGGAUAGCCUCGAAAGAGUAAAGCUUUUGCCGUUUGGGAGGGGCCUGCGGCCUAUCAGCUAGUUGGUAAGGUAAUGGCUUACCAAGGCGAUGACGGGUAGCUGAUGUGAGAGCAUGAUCAGCCUCGAUGGGACUGCGACACGGUCCAUACUCCUACGGGAGGCAGCAGUGAAGAAUCUUCCGCAAUGGACGAAAGUCUGACGGAGCAACACCGCGUGGAGGACGACGGCCUUCGGGUUGUAAACUCCUUUUCUGAGGGAACAAGUAUGAGGGUACCUCAGGAAUAAGGCGCUGCUAACUACGUGCCAGCAGCAGCGGUAAUACGUAGGCGCCAAGCGUUAUCCGGAAUUACUGGGCGUCAAGAGUCUGUAGGCGGCGGAUAAAGUCGAGUGCUUAAUUUUCAUGCUCAACGUGAAAAAUGUACUCGAAACUUAUUUGCU
rnacentral:rRNA from 1 species